AUGGCGAUGGCCGGCGGAGCCCCGCCGGCGCCGCUGCCGGUGGUGGGGCACCAGUUCUGCGCGCCCUACGUGGUGCCGCUCACGGUCACCAAGAAGGCCCUCAGCCUCUCCGACGGCGACUUCGCCAUCACCGACGCCAACGGCGCCGUCGUGCUCAAGGUCAAGGGCGCCAUCUUCAGCAUCCGGAGCCGCCGCACCAUCCUCGACGGCGCCGGGAUGCCCCUCCUCACCAUGCAAGAAAAGGUGUUCAGCAUGCACCACAGAUGGGAGGUGUUCAGAGGGGACAGCACCAACUCAGGCGACCUGCUCUUCAGCGUGAAGACAACUUCACUGAUCCAACUGAAGACGGAGAUGGAUGUCUUCUUGGCCGGGAACACCGCGCAGCAGGUCUGCGACUUCAAGAUCAAGGGCAGCUACUUCGACAGGUCCUGCGUCUUCUACCUUGGCGACUCCAACACCAUGGUUGCUCAAAUGAGCCGUAAGCUGACUGUUUCCAAUGUGCUGCUGGGGAGGGACACGUUCAGUGUGACCGUGUUCCCGCACGUCGACUACGUGUUCAUCGCGAGCCUUGUUGUGAUCCUGGAUGAGGUUCACAGGGACAAGCGCGAAGAUUGA
rnacentral:rRNA from 1 species